rnacentral:rRNA from 1 species
UUUGCCUACGGGGGGCAGCAGUUAGGAAUAUUCGUCAAUGGGGGAAACCCUGAACGAGCAAUGCCGCGUGAACGAUGAAGGCCCUAUGGGUUGUAAAGUUCUGUUGUUUGGAACGAAUAACUAGAAGAGGAAAUGCUUUUAGUCUGACGGUACCAUUCAAGAAAGCCACGGCUAACUACGUGCCAGCAGCCGCGGUAAUACGUAGGUGGCGAGCGUUAUCCGGAAUCAUUGGGCGUA